rnacentral:misc_RNA from 1 species
GAGAUUCGUGGCGCAAGCCACAACCACACACACACCGUGAACCGUGGGCCUCGGCCCCAUUACAAACUAUUUAGUAUCAGAACGUCAAUACAUUUAAAAUGAAA